rnacentral:rRNA from 1 species
GGAGUUAGCCGGUGCUUCUUCUGUGAGUGAUGUCCUUCCUGCCGGUUAUUGACCCGCAGGCCUUCUUCCUCACUGAAAGUGCUUUACAACCCGAAGGCCUUCUUCACACACGCGGCAUGGCUGGAUCAGGGUUGCCCCCAUUGUCCAAUAUUCCCCACUGCUGCCUCCCGUAGGAGUCUGGGCCGUGUCUCAGUCCCAGUGUGGCUGAUCAUCCUCUCAGACCAGCUACGGAUCGUCGCCUUGGUGAGCCGUUACCUCACCAACCAGCUAAUCCGACAUAGGCUCAUCCGAUAGCGCGAGGCCCGAAGGUCCCCCGCUUUCCCCCGUAGGGCGUAUGCGGUAUUAGCCUGGGUUUCCCCAGGUUAUCCCCCACUACCGGGCAGAUUCCUAUGCAUUACUCACCCGUCCGCCGCUCGCCACCAGGGAGCAAGCUCCCCGUGCUGCCGCUCGACUUGCAUGUGUUAGGCCUGCCGCCACGCGUCAUCUGAGCCGACGAUACAACUACUGA